UACGUAGGGGGCUAGCGUUGUCCGGAAUCAUUGGGCGUAAAGCGCGUGUAGGCGGUUUGGUAAGUCCGCUGUGAAAGCCGGGGGCUCAACCCUCGGAUGCCGGUGGAUACUGUCGGACUAGAGUACGGAAGAGGCGAGUGGAAUUCCUGGUGUAGCGGUGAAAUGCGCAGAUAUCAGGAGGAACACCGAUGGCGAAGGCAGCUCGCUGGGACGGUACUGACGCUGAGACGCGAAAGCGUGGGGAGCAAACAGG
rnacentral:rRNA from 1 species